rnacentral:rRNA from 1 species
UGGGGAAUUGUUCGCAAUGGGCGCAAGCCUGACGACGCAACGCCGCGUGGAGGAUGAAGACCUUCGGGUCGUAAACUCCUUUCGAUCGAGACGAACGGUCCUGGGGUGAACAAUCCCGGGAAGUGACGGUACCGAGAGAAGAAGCCCCGGCUAACUCCGUGCCAGCAGCCGCGGUAAUACGGGGGGGGCAAGCGUUGUUCGGAAUUACUGGGCGUAAAGGGCUUGUAGGUGGCCAACUAAGUCGGACGUGAAAUCCCUCGGCUUAACCGGGGAACUGCGUCUGAUACUGGAUGGCUCGAGUUUGGGAGAGGGAUGCGGAAUUCCAGGUGUAGCGGUGAAAUGCGUAGAUAUCUGGAGGAACACCGGUGGCGAAGGCGGCAUCCUGGACCAACACUGACACUGAGAAGCGAAAGCCAGGGGAGCAAACGGGAUUAGAUACCCCCGUAGUCC